rnacentral:rRNA from 1 species
UAGGGAAUCUUCCGCAAUGGGCGAAAGCUUGACGGAGCAACGCCGCGUGAGUGAUGAAGGUCUUCGGAUCGUAAAACUCUGUUAUUAGGGAAGAACAAAUGUGUAAGUAACUAUGCACGUCUUGACGGUACCUAAUCAGAAAGCCACGGCUAACUACGUGCCAGCAGCCGCGGUAAUACGUAGGUGGCAAGCGUUAUCCGGAAUUAUUGGGCGUAAAGCGCGCGUAGGCGGUUUUUUAAGUCUGAUGUGAAAGCCCACGGCUCAACCGUGGAGGGUCAUUGGAAACUGGAAAACUUGAGUGCAGAAGAGGAAAGUGGAAUUCCAUGUGUAGCGGUGAAAUGCGCAGAGAUAUGGAGGAACACCAGUGGCGAAGGCGACUUUCUGGUCUGUAACUGACGCUGAUGUGCGAAAGCGUGGGAUCAAACAGG